ACUUACCCAUUCAAAGAGAUAGAUCUUGUCAUUAUCAAGGGAAUUGUCGGUGUUUGAUCGGCCAGCAACUGUUUCUAGAGCAACAACUCCAAAUGCGAAAACAUCAGCCUUUUCAGUCAGAUGGCCUCUCAUUGCAUACUCGGGUGCCAGAUAGCCGCUUCAAAAGGUCAGACGAGAUAAAAUUAGCUUAGACUUCAAAGGUAAACUCAUAAGAAAAGAAAGGGUGAAAUGUGCAUACAAUGUGCCAGCGAUUUUCGUGCUGAUAUGGGUCUCCUUUUCAUCAUAGAGCUUGGCAAGUCCAAAAUCGGAGAUUUGGGGGCUCAGAUCAGUGUCAAGCAAGACGUUGCUAGCUUUGAUAUCCCUAUGCACAAUCCGAAUGCUGGACUCCUCAUGAAGAUAAGUUAUGCCUCUUGCAAUACCUAAAAUGAUCUCGAAGCGUGUUGGCCAAUCUAGGUUCAAGCUACCAUGUCCUGAACAUGGAGAAAUAAGGCCUUGAGAAUUG
rnacentral:sRNA from 1 species